GGGGAAUUUUGGACAAUGGGCGCAAGCCUGAUCCAGCCAUGCCGCGUGAGUGAAGAAGGCCUUCGGGUUGUAAAGCUCUUUCGGUGAAGACGAAACGGUUAGCGCUAAUAACGCUGACUAAUGACGGUACUCACAGAAGAAGCACCGGCUAACUACGUGCCAGCAGCCGCGGUAAUACGUAGGGUGCAGGCGUUAAUCGGAAUUACUGGGCGUAAAGCGUGCGCAGGCGGUUUGCUAAGACAGGUGUGAAAUCCCCGGGCUUAACCUGGGAAUUGCGCUUGUAACUGGCAGGCUAGAGUGUGGCAGAGGGGGGUGGAAUUCCACGUGUAGCAGUGAAAUGCGUAGAUAUGUGGAGGAACACCGAUGGCGAAGGCAGCCCCCUGGGUCAACACUGACGCUCAGGCACGAAAGCGUGGGGAGCAAAC
rnacentral:rRNA from 1 species